AAAGCUCAAUCUAAAUUUAAACACCAGCUGUUUUGUUUCAAUUAAACUACAGAACACUGUUUCCAUAGUAACAGCUUCUUGGACUUGAUUAACAAAUCUAGGGUGGCCCAGGUAUGGUUCCUGUCUCCGCCUACAAGACGGUACAAGCUAUUGAGGACUUCGACAGAGAAGAACUCCCACUGACAGUUGCCAACUGAUAUUUAUGACCAGAUGUUAAAAUGUGGCUCCUAUAUGCAAGACGCCCUCACGGAGUAUAUUCAACCAAUUAUGAUCUACAUUCAUGCCUACGCUGACUGAGUGGCGGGGCCUGAGCUUUUGCAGAACCCACAAUUAGCCCCAUCCACAUGGAAAUGUGCGCCGAUAAACUCAACAGUUAUUAGAGAUCGGUGUCAAAAUUCGAAUGAAUGAUAAGUUCUUUGCUAUGAGAAAGUAAUUUGAGUACCAUUUUGUAUAUAUUAGUGCUCAAAAUACAUGUAGCAUUCACACUUGAGGAAAAUCUUCAAUUUUAUCUUGAAAGAAUGACUGUUACUGAUUAUUAAUUCCAUGACGGUUGAUCCAUAUUUUUGUCACAAAUUUGUGAAUAUGGGGUUAAUAUGUAGCAUUUUUAUUUGUGUCAGUCAUUUAUUUUCGAUUUUAAUAAAUUCUAAUAGAAAGC
rnacentral:sRNA from 1 species